CAUAAUCGAGAAGCUCCCCAGCAGGGGAGACCACUAUAGUGUCAGGUAGCUACCUGACAGGCUGGAGGCCCCCUCAUGAGCUGCUACCUGCAGGGCAGUCCAAAAGUAGUAGUUUUUCGUCUUCUACAGCUUGGAGCUCGCAAAAUUUGCAGAUGCUCUGCUCACAUGUGAUCCUCCCAUAAGUAAUCUUUGCUUCUAGCAGCCAGCAGAACAGAUUAAUUAGCAACCAAUGCAUGCCGAUAGGAUUAAAUAUAUUGGCAUGUGGCAACCAGCUUGCCCCGGCUGCCUUCUCAAUUUAUCUCGUGAACAAAGUUAGCCUUGUGUAACCCAACCCUGAUACCAAUAAUCAGUCUCAGUCGACAUAUUUGGGCAACCAAAGGGCAGCUAAACGAGCCAGACGCCCAAAUAUGUACAAGGGGGCCAGUAUUCCUUUGUCACACUCAGUCUUGGCCUAUUUACACUAUUAAACAGUAAAUGUUGUUGUUGUUACAUGGUCGUGGGUGCAUUCCCCGUAUCUGCAAACCACCCUAAUACGAGGGCUCAAGGGCUGCCAGAUCGCCUGUAAGCACCAUCCUACCUCGCACUUCAAAGUAACAAAUGAUGAAGGAUACUAACGACCAAAGGGAACAAUAGAGUUGCGGUGGGACCAUAUACGUUCCAGCAUCCUUGGCAGACGUUCAGGAUCCCACUUCAUAGCGUCCUUCAUGUGCUUGAAGCGUGGGAAAUCCAUAUCAGAUCUGAUAUUGUCGUACACCGGACAGUCCAGCANAAUGUGCUUCUCAUCCUCGAUAUGGCUAUCAGUGCCGCAGCAAGGGCAUACUCGCUCCUCCCUAGGUAUAUUACGCGCUCUGUUAGCCGCCAAUGCCCAACAGCAAAGCCUAAACUGCAUAAGCUN
rnacentral:lncRNA from 1 species